rnacentral:misc_RNA from 1 species
UCCCUAUUACUAAGGCAGUCUGAAUAGAAAAAUACAACUAUUCACAAGGGUUGCGCUCGUUGAAGGACUUAACCUAACAUCUCACGACACGAGCUGACGACGGCCAUGCAACACCUGUCACCGAUCCAACUAAAUGAAAAACUUCUUUCGAAGUUCGGCUAUCGGGAUGUCAAACCCUGGUAAGGUUCAUCGGUUAGCAUCGAAUUAAAGAGCAUAAUCCACCGCUUGUGCUGAUCCCCGUCAAUUCCUUUAUGUUUUAGUCUUGCGACCGUACUCCACAGGCGGGAUACUUAACGCGUUAGCUUCGCUACUGAAGGGGUCGAUACCUCCAACAGCUAGUAUCCAUCGUUUACGGCGUGGACUAC